rnacentral:lncRNA from 1 species
AAAUAUUACUUCAUAUUGUUAUAUAUUAUAUUAAACUUCAUCACUUGCUCAAACCUCCUUCACUUGGGCAUCCUUAGUCACACUCGCGCCUCCAACAUCUUUCUUCACAUCGUCAAGUUGAAAAGCAGACACUGGAAAAGAUCUGUAAAGGCCAGAAGUGGCCUUAAAGUUGAUCUUUCCAGUGGGCGGGUUAUCAAGAGUGAUCUCACUCAGUGUGAUCCACAUCAAAAGCUCCUUAGACUUAACACCCGUGAGUUUCUUGAUCUUAAACUUCUCUAUAUAUGCGGUUACCUCCGUUCCAUACGUUGUAAGCUUCCCGAUCUUUUCAAACUUGUGUUUCUUCUCUUUCUUUUGUAUAAGCCACACAAAACCGGUGUCUUUGACAUACCCACAUUCCACAAUGUCCUCUAAAGGCAAAAGACCAUUGGGUAGUCCCAUUUCGGUUAGUAAUUCCUUUGAUUUUUCUUGACAAAUUGCAUCACCAUGAUAAAUUUCUGAUGCACUUUCCCUAAUUGCUUUUGUCACAAGAGACAUUUUUGGUUUGAUUUGAAUGUGGAUAUUUUCAUGA